rnacentral:lncRNA from 1 species
GGGAACACUGCUCGUAUACAAUGAGAUUCUGAAAAAUAGUUUCUGUAGCAUCACCAAUUUCCAAGGUUGGGAUCUUCAUUACCCCAUUUUUGAACUUUAUAUCAAACAAGGAACCAUCCCUAUGGGCGUCAACCUUCUGGAACUUUAUUCCAGCCUUUUGGAUCUCUGAGGCAGAGCAGAUGAAGCUCCAGUCACUAUUGUUUUUACCAUUAUUCGCAUAUGCUUCAAUUCCUGAAGGGGAAGGAUGCCAGUUAUCGUGUAUCAAAUUGACCAGAUGUUUGAUUUCAUUUAUCGGAUAAUCAUUAACCCGAUCAACACCAUCUCUUCGAAAUCCUUUCCCCGGUAAUAUUCCGUAGAAAAAACGCAAAAUUGUGACAAGAAAGCUUUCGUUCCUUGGAAUACUAGGCAUCUCAGACAUUAUAAACAACUUCCAAACAACAAAAAAUGGAAGUUGAUUCUCAAGCAAAAUCAUAUCUCGUGCUAUGUGAGGUAACAUCCAACCCUGUUUAAAAAUGGGGUCAUCGUCUCCUCUCAAAUGUGGCAAUCCAAACUUACGAAUAACCUCAACAAUGAAACAGCCAUCGAAAAGCAUCAUUUGGACAAACUCAUUCUUGCCUGAACUUAUGGAUCCUCCGUAACAGUUUCGAGCUCUUUCUUCCAGUGCCCACAUGGCCCUCACAUAGUCUGGGUAAGGUAUACCCGUCCGCUCUAAAAGAGUUUGAAGAUAGCUGAUUUUGUGCCCUUCAAAUGCCGAUAAGUUAUCUUUUCCGUGAUGGUAAGGACCGAUUGCUAGUAAUUCUGGUUCGUAAGCCUUUUCAUUUAAUUUGCGCAGUACAUCAGGGACUCUGAAAAUGCUGAAUUGAGAAGGCGUAGGGGUCGGACGAUGAAGCUUUUCUCCAACAAGAUCAAGUACUAUGUUAGAUGGUUCACGUGCCAUGACUUGAUGAUCUGUAUUUAAGUACACACAGAGGCAGAAAUGUUGAAAUCUGAAACUUAUUAAAUUAUGGACAACCAAAAAUGCCACAAGUGCUUGAAUUUUAGUUUAUAAAUUCCGGGAAAAACUAGUGAUUGUUAAUAGUUUCAUCAUCGAAGAAUUAUAUAUAGUUAAUAGUUUAUAACCAUGGGGAGUGAAACAAUUAUCCUGCUGUUAGAAUUUAAGGAACCACAAAUUGAAUGACCAUAUAUAGCAACUCAAUAAGUUGUAUUUUCGUUCGAAAUUAAUUAAUAAGUUGAUUAAUGCUUCAAAGUUAUAAGAUAUACAAAUUAUAUUAAACAAUCUGUGAUCAUAACUUACUUGUUUGAAUGCUGCCGUUCCAAUUGCUUUACGAUAUUCUCUUCUUCCCUUCGUUUUCUUUUAAUGAAAGUAAAAUGUUUGGUUUGCAGGUGCAUAGAGGCUCCAAUUAAUUAAUACUUCAACUUUCAUUCCCUCUUUCUUUUUUGAUGAAGCAAAAUGUUAACUAAUGAUACAAAAGUCUUUGAAAUAUAGUCAAUAAAAAGAAAAUGUGGGUUGACCAGUAGAUUUCACGGCAGGUAUGUGUUGACCAGACUUCAUAUUCUUUACAUGGCUAAUAAAAAAGAUUAGGUUGAACGUGGAAUUUUCGCCAACUCGUUUUUACUGUUCAAGCAACGAAUUUUUUAUUAAAAAGAAAAUGUGGAAAUGGUCGGGUUUGCAGCUGCAUAGGCUCCAGGAUAGAGAAAUCAAUUUCUUCAAAAUGCUUCUAGUGACUAAAUUUCAAACUUGGUGGCGAGUAAUAUACUUGGAUUCAACUUUUGUACUUAUCUAAUGGUGUAAGUAAUAAGGUUUACAAGUGUAAUCUCGAUAAUUAGUGACCACAUGGGCUAGAGUCCUCUUGAACAAAAAUUUCCUCGUCAAUUCAAUUACUUGUUUAGUAUUUGUAAUUAAUUUUAUUGUUAAUUGUAUUGAUUUAAGCCCUUGGUAAUUUAUUUCAUAAAAACCCAGACUAAAUUCUAUCUUAUUAGAAGUGAAAAAAAAUUACCUUUUUUUCCAAAUAAUUAAAAGAGUUAGAAAGAUUUGGCGGCUUGGCAUUUCAUCAAAUUAAUAGAAUCCCAAUUUUAAAUUAAAAAUAAUUUGACUCAUCAAAAUCCUUUCCAAAUCAACAACCUACAUCUAGAAUCCCAAAAGGCUACAGGAAACCAACGAUUUUUCACUUUUGCAAAUCUCCAAGGCUGAAGACUGCAAAACAAAUCCUCUUCCAUUUAAGUUCAAAUAAAGUUCCAAUAGGUAUUCUUAAUUUUUUUAUCUUUUAUUUAUAAUUAUCAUUACGGAUGAUUAUCUAUGUUAAGUUAUAUCAAGCAAUAAUUUGUUGUUUGUUUAUACUCUAAAAACUAAAAAGUAUCAUUAUUCAUCAUCAUCUUUUUGUUCGACUUGUGUAUAUUUAAAAUUAUGGUCCACCUAUGUUGGAACCGUUAUAAGUUAGAGAAUCUCUUCAUAAUAACACGAUCAAAGUUAUAAUGUAUUUUUUUUUUAUUAUUUAUCACUUUUCGUGUGUGGCUAUGAGGUAAAGCAUGUCGUUAAGGUCUGCUUAAAUGAUUAUACAUACCACUUUAAUUUCAUAAAUGAGUGUUAUACCCUUUGAUUAUAACAACCCAAACAAAUAUAAAUAAAGUAAUAAGAUCAAAUAUUACAAUAAUUAUAAUUAAUAAAAUAAUGUAUAUAAUAAAAAAUAUUUUUGAUAUUAAGUUAUUAUUGGUCUAUCCCGAUGAAUUUUAUUAAUACUAGAAUUUAUUAAUUCAAAAAUUGACUUUAAGACAUACUAAUAUAGACAUAAUUAAAAAUGAUAUUGUAAAUAAAAUAAUAUAAAUCUUAUAAAUUACUAUGAAUGUUAGAUAUAAUUAUUUUGAUAUUAUUAAUAUGUCAAAUAGAUUUUAUUAUUAUUAAAAGAAUACGACAUAUUAAUAAUGUUAAAAUACCUUUUCUAAUAUUCAAAAUAAUUUAUAUAUUUUAUUUUAUUUUAUAUGUUAUAUAUUUUUUAAUCUUAAUUUAUAUUUAUUAUAAAAGUUUAUUGAAAGUCAAUUAUUGGGUUGUUGUAAUCAAUGAUAUAAUAGUAAAAAAAAAGGUCUGUGUGACAAUUUAUAAAACUAAAGGAGCUUGUUUGACCAUUUAAACAAAUCAUGGAAGUGUAGAUGACCUUUUCCCUUAUUAUAAUUAUUGUCAUUAUAUUCAUUAAGUCAGUUUUAUUAUAUCGUUUUUAGAUACUGACAUUGUUAUUAAGAAUGGCCUCUUCCAAAUAAAUUGUCUAGGUCCGUUACUAUGUAAGAAUGGAUAAUUUUGAUUAAAUAAUAGUUUUUUUAAAAUAUUCUUAUUAUUCUAUAGGAACCACUUAUUAUAUAAAUAAUUAUCUAAUUUGCAAUAAAAAUAGAUAUGAUAUGUUUAUGUGAUUUUUGUAGAAGAUGUGAUUAGUUCACUUGCUUCUUCUUGAAAUUAAUUCCGAAUUGAAUCUUAUCUCUAAUUUUUUGUAAUGCGAAAUUCCAAUUGCUAUUAUCAAUUUGUAUUGAUAAAUUAGUCAAUGUUAGUUAGUAUCAUUUUGAGUGCUUCUUCGUGUGAGACGGGACUCUAUCUAUCAUCUUUAACAUUCUAUAAUAAUCUUAUUACUACCAAUAUAUGCAACUAAUUACUAUUCAAAUAAAACAUAAUAAAUAUUAAAUCAAGAUAAAUCAAUACUAUAAAUGAGAUCUCAUUUUCUAAAAUAAAGAAUAUCUUCAUAAAAUUAAUAAUUAAUUAAUAUUCGUUGAAUUAAUUUAUUGAUGUUUUACUAUAUUUGGCUGCCUAAGUCUUGUUUUAGUGAUCAAACUGUUGGGGAAUUUUAAAUCCCACCCAAGAUCCCACAACCUAAAAUAUCAAACAACUAAUAAAUGAAAAAUAGAUGGAAAAUAAAACCAAUCAUGCGCCCCGCCGCCCCCCGCCAAGGUUAUAGCACACCCGUCUCGGCGCCCCUGGGGCCAUUUUCGCCUCCCGACCUGCAGGCACAAUUUUUGGGUGGGCCUCUACACGCGCCCUCCCCGGGCGCCCCGAGGCCCCUCACAAAGUUUUGCCCCAUUCUGAGUCCCGUGGAGGCCCCGCCCCGCCGCCCCUCGCCAAAGCUAUAGCACACCCGUCUCGGCGCCCCUGGGGCUUUUUUGGCCCCCUGACCUGCGGGCACAAUUUUAGUGCGGGCCUCUGCACGCGUCCUCCCCCGGGCGCCCCAAGGCCCCCGCAAAGUUUUGCCACAUUCCGAGUCCCGCGGAGGCUACGCCCCGCCGCCCCCCGCCAAGGCUAUAGCACAACAUAAGAAUUUAUGUGGAAAGCUCUUAUACUGGAGAAAAACAGUGGCCACCAAGUUCGACGAGAGAAAAUUUUACUAAGUGAAAAAUUAUUACAAUCACUUUAGUAAGUUUCUUACAUCCAAACCCCAAUAACACCCAAUCGCUUAAUAGACUUACCGUUUCUCUCACAUUACGUUAACUUGUAGAGAACUAAUUAAUGUGCUAUACAAAUAAAUGAACUCAACCUCCCUAUAUAUAGUGAUUAUUCAUUGUAGGAGAAGUAUUCCUUUCCUUAUACUAGUUGUAUUCGUCCUUGAAUAAGUCAAGUUCUAAAGGAAAAAUUACUUAUUCCUUAAAAAUGAAUCUUGCCAAAGAAGAAAAUAUCUUAGGAAAUCCUUAUUAAAAAUAAGACAUAUUUCAUAACAAUCUCCACAUUGGCCAGGUGUUCAAUUAGGCAACAAAACACGAUCCAUUGUAUAUCCAUACAACCGCAUCAUCUUCACCUUCUUUACUCCACCAAAACCAUACUCACAUAGGACUUAUAAGAAUCAAUCCAUCAUGAGUAAAAUUUUGUCAUCUAUCCAGUAGCAUAAUUCUCCUCACCGAGAAUCAUCAUACUCCAUUUUAUCCAGAGUAUGAAUAUUUGGUACAUAUCGAUCAUCUUGGUGAAAAUAGCGACUCUCAUGUUUGGCUUCCUUGAGGAUCCUCAGCCAUCAACAUAAAAAUUCCACCACACACCUUACAUAAAUGUCAAACCAUGCCUUGUGUGCAAAUCUUGUAGACCCACAAGUUGUAACACAUCAUUUUCCAUUACCUUAGUAGGUUUGCCAGGAGGAUAUCUUCAUCAUCUAUCGAAAUGAACCAUUGUCUCCUACAAUGAUGAGACUUUUUGCUAGCGAUACUAUCAGUAUCUUUAUAUACUGACUUGGAGCCACUUGUUGAACUUGCUCCAAUUACUUUUUGACAAUCCUUUUUAAGGUGUUUUGAUUAUCACAAACCCAACUAACUCUUUUCUUCUUAGAGUUAUUUUUCUUCCAAUUAGUAACUGUCAAUGCCGAAUCAUCAGAAGCUUCAUUAGUUCCACCAUUCAACCUUCUUUCUUCUAAAUGUAGAGUACUAGUAGCUUCUUCAAAUCUACAAUUUCCUUCUCAUACAUUAAAGUAGGCAACAAAUGCUUGUAGGAAGUUGGAAGAGAUCACAAUAGUCUAAGUGCCUUGUCCUCAUCUUUAAUUUUAACUCUAAUUGUUUCUAGUUUUGUCACAAGGCCAUUAAGAACACUAAGAUGAUAAAUUUUUUUUGUACAUUUAACCAUUCUCAGCAUGUGAAAUCGCUCCUUAAGUUAUAAACGAUUGGAGAUACUCUUUGUCUAAUACAAAAUUUAUGGCCUCUCCCAAAGUUCUUUUGCCAAAGGAAUUUCUCCUACAUUCGCAAGAACAUUUUUUGUUAGACAUAAUCGUAUAGCACUUGUAGCUCUUUCAACCAAUUCUUUCAAUCUUUAUUGCUCAUAAUAAUAGAUUUUCCAAAGUCAUUGCUAGAAGCAAUAGAUGAUUUGCCCUUCAAAGUCUUGUAUAGCCUAGAUUGAAUCAAUACAUCCUUGACUUGAAUUUGCCACAGGCCAAAAUUGAUUCUUCCAUCAAACUUUUCAACCUCAAUUCUCAUAGGAUUUGAAAACUUAUAGACAAAUAUUAUUGCUUUACAGAAUAACCUUUAUCUCUAAUACCACUUGUUAGGAAAUUUUUAAUCCCCUUCAAGAUCCCACAAGCAAAAAUAUCAAUUAAAUAAUAUAUAAAAAAUAGAUAGAAAAUAAAACAAUCACACAACACAAGAAUUUAUGUGAAAAACUUCUAUACAGAAGAAAAAGCAUGGUCGCCAAGGAUGACGAGAGAAAAAUCUACUAUGUAAAAAUCUAUUAUAAUCACUCUAGUAUUUUUCUCACACUCGAAACCCUAAUAACACCUAAUCUCUUAAUAGAUUUACCGUUUCUCUCACACUAGAAACUAUCUACUUGCAGAGAACUAAUUGAUGUGUUAUACAAACAAGUGAACCCAAUCUUCUUAUAUAUAGUGAUUAUUUUUGUAGAAGAAGUAUUCUUUUCCCUAUAUUAGUUCUAUUCCUCCUUGAAUAAGUUAAGUCCCAAGGGAAAAUUACUUAUUCCUAAAAUAGGAAUCAUGCUAAGGAAGAAAAUAUUUUAGGAAAUCUUUAUUGAAAAAUAAGACAUAUUUCCUCACGCAAGCAACUUUCUUUUUUUCAAAUCCUAAAAGAAGUAAGGUUUAAUUUUAUGAUUGUAAUAAAUUAAGAUCGAAAUAAAGGAAAUCUUGUUGUAAGAUAUUUCAAAAAAUAAUUGCACGUUAGGUUUUCUUAGGAUUACUUUUGAUAACAACAAAACAAGAUAUUAAAACAGUUACAACUGUAACAACUCUUUUAACUUAACUAUUUAAUUUAGUCUACACAUAAAAUAAGUAAUUUCACCAUUCAAUAACUUUUCACCUUUCACAUUACUAGCACCAUUUUCAUUAAUGGUCGAGUUCCUUUCUCUUUGAUUUCAAAAGUUUUCCAUUCUUAUUCAAGUGAUGAUAGUAGAUGGCAAAGAUCCAAAAUGAUCUGGUAUUUGAUAAUCCUGCUCCCAUUCCAUUUUUUUAAAGGGACAUAAAUGUGUAUUAAGUUUUAUUCCGUUUGUGUAUUUGGGACCAAAAUUAAUACUAACUUCAGAUCGUUGAAAAUCUCAUCCUAUCCCAAUUAUCACAAAUGUCUCUAACGUUCCACUUAAUUAAUAUUCAACAAAUUAAUAUUUUAAUUUCUGUUAACGUAUUUAAUAAGAGUUAAUUUCAAAUUUUCAUAUAUUAAAAUAAUGGGUUAUUAUCUAGGGAUGACAAUGGGGAGCGUAGAGGAGGGGAUUGACAUCCUUGUGCCAAUCCGUGAUAUUCUGCAUAUGUUCCCAUCCCCUCCCAGUCCCCGUCAGAAUUGCUUAAGGGGAUUCACGUCCCCUCCCCGAUUAAUAAAAGGGGAUCCUCGAAAAACUCUCAAAUAAUCGAUACGUUUUUUAUUUCUAAAUUUGAUUUAAUCUAUUAAAAUAAAAAUUUAAAUAAAAAUAAAGUUUGACAAUAUAUCUUAGUAAAGUUUGGAUGUUAUAGCUUUAGUUUUUGCUUUAAUUUUUGUUUAUUAUAUAAAAGAUUAAAACAAAAAUUUUGGGCUAAGGCCUUUUGAAUAAGACCUGAUAGAAUAGUAAUUCUAUAAUUAGUUAACUGGGCCCAAAAUUUCAUAGUAUAUUUGUAUAAAUAUUUUUAUAUUUGUUAUUUAUACUAAUAUUUUAUAUUUUAUAAUAUAAAUUUUACAUUUAUUCAUUAAUAUUUCUAAAAAAUGAAAUUAAAAUAAGAAAUAAAAUGGGAAAAUAGAGAAUUGGGGAGGGGAUGGUAAUUCCAUCUCAUCCUCGUCCCUUCCUCGAAAAAGCAAUUAGGUAAAAGAUCGUUCUCAUCCCUUUUUUGAAUAAGAAAUUGGAUAUAAAAUCAUCCCCAUACCCUCCCCAAAUAGAGAAAAUCCCCAAGAGGCCACGUUCUCGUGGGGAUUUCUGUCAUUCUCGUUAUUAUCAUUUCCUACUCUAAGAAUUAAAAAAAUCAAAUGACUAUAAGAAAUAUUGUUCCCAUCAUUUAUUACUAUAACUUUGCAAAACCAUUCAUUUUACUACUUUUCAGUUAGGACAGUUAGUUGACUAGUAAAAUAUUAAUUUUACCCUUUAUGGUAAAAUACACAACUAGACGUAUCAAAUAAAGACAAAAAGUUAUUAUUAUACCUGAAAUUGUUAAAUAAUAAUUUUAACCAUGAACUUAUGAAUAACCCUAAAUUUAUUAUAACUAUAAAAGUAUUGAAUUAACAAAAAUACGCCUAGAUAUUUUGUGAAAAACACACACAAUCUAUUCUAAAAAAAACAAUUAAAUGUGGAAGUGUUGAUUCUUUAGGUAAUUUUUGAAUUUUCAUAAUAUUGAUUUUGAUGAUAACAAACAAGAUUAAGAAUGAUUAAUCUUUUAAGCUCAAAUUAUUGAAAAAUAUAUUUUUAAAUAAAUCAUUAUUUUUACAUUAUAAAGGUUUUAUAUUUAAUGGAAAAAUGAUUUUAUGAAAUUGAUUGUUUUUAUUCUUUUUAAAUAAAUCAUUAUUUUCACAUUAUAAAUGUUUCAUAUUUAAUGGAAAAAUGAUUUUAUGAAAUUGGUUGUUUUUCAAAGUUUAUGGUUUAAUUGAAAGAAUUUUGAAAACUUUGAAAUAAACAAGUAUUGCUUGAAAUUUUGGUAAAGGACUUAUUUGAAAAAUAUCAUAGCUUUUUUUCUAUAUCAUAAUUUCAGAAAGUUUUGGGAUUAACAAAGCAUUAAUUAGGAAUUCUGAAAUUAGACCUAUUUGCAAAGUUUUAUAACGUUUUGGGCCGUACUACAGUUUUUGUAAAGUUUUGAGAUCAAACUGUAAUUUUGGAAAAUAGUGCACUGUGCAGGUCACUGUAGCAUCCGGCUUACCGGAUAUAAAAACUGGAAAACCGGAUAUAGGGCAGAAUGUAUCCAGAACGAAAACGGCUUACCGGAUUUCGAAUCCGGCAAGCUGGUUAGGCAAAAUUUUGAAUUUUACCUUAACGGUAACAUAAAUCCGGCUUACCGGAUUCCAUAAACGGCAAACCGGAUACUCCCAGAAUGUGUAUAACGGAUAGUAACGGCUAGUUUUUGAGUUCAAACUAUAAGAACUCAAAUCCAACUCAUUUUGAAGCUCUCCAACAAGCAAAAACAAAAAGCACACGUGAUAUCUUGAGCCUUCAAACUUGCGAAAUACAAACAUUGAAUCUUUUCUUGUUCUUCAUUUUUGAAUAUCUACUCAUUGAGUGAGUUUCAUUGUAACCAUCAUUUAUUCAUCUCAAUUGUAAGAGUUUGAGUGUGUGAAACACUUGAGUGAAGAGAUUAGCUUCCAAAUCACAACAUCAUUUAAAUGUUUGGUUAAGUAACAUAUAUGGUAACCAUCAAGCAUUGUAGCGUAAUAAGAGAACUUGCAUAGUCAAUUGUGAUGGAAUAGUUAUUGAUGCUAAGAUUUUAUUCUCCUACCAUUAAAAGGUAGAGAUAGAUAUCUCUCCCACAAAUAUGGGUAGAGCUCAUAUAUGCCUAGAUGUUAGUGGGGUAUAUAUAUCACUAUAUUAUGGGCUGUAAUAUGAUAGAAUUGAUUUAGAUUAGUCUAAAUGGAUCCUUGAUUGUAAAUAUUGGUGUCAAAUAUUACUAAAACUCUGAUUGUAUUAAAAGAAGUUACAUAUGUGGAGGAAAAAAAAGAAGAGUUGGAUAAAAAUUGUGGUUAAAAUCGUUAGCUAAGACUAAUAAAAUACUAUAAGGCAUGCUUUUAGGUGUAAUUCGAUGGCAUCCGGAAAGCCAGAUAUCCGGAUCCGGUUAAUUUUAUAUUAAAAUAAUAUAUAAUAUAAAUAUAUAUAUAAUGUUAACUAAUGAUAGAAGAAUUUCAUCUUAUUGAAAUUGUUAGACUUGAAAUUCGAGACAGAUGUAACGUGUCCAAACUAUCCGCGAUGUGAUCACCAUUACCAUGAGUAACAUUUACAUAUUAUUUAACCUGCAUCUUCUAUUUAGUAAUGCACGCAUUUGACAUUGCACACUAACAAAAUUUAACUCAGUACCUUGUUGUUUAGUGUCGAAUAAGUCGUAUUAUAUUUGACAAACCAAAUAAGCAACAACUGUAAAAAAAGUUUAUACAAAUUUAAGAAGAAGAAUGGACAAUCACUACAUUUAACCAUCUUGACGCAUGUCUACAAUACCACAGUAGCUACUGUAUCUGCUUCUAUAUUCAAUGGCUUUGCGCUUGUUGAUAAUAAGAAAGAACUGCAAACAGAGCUUGCUGCAACGUUAGGAGAAGUAGGAAAAGAGCAGCAAGAACGGAGAUGAUUGCCCAUGGAGUGUUGAAAUAAUUGUGCCUCAACUUGGCCAUCCACUUAUUACGACGCCUACUGCAAUGCAAAAUCACUUUGUUGAAAACCUCACGGUAAUAGAACUUCUCACCGAGUACAACGCCAUCACAAAGCUUGUUCAAUAAGGUUGCAAUCACUUCAUCAUCUCCUAACAAAUUCUCAAUUAUUCCACGACGGCGGAGUAAUUCAGCAUCCUUUGAAGAAUUGAUGAGGCAGUUCAGGAAUUCGACAUAAUCGAUUACAUGCUUCAGAUUUAAGUCUUGGGAACACUGCUCGUAUGCAAUGAAAUUCUGUAAAAUUGUUUCUGUAGCAUCACCAAUUUCCAAGGACGGCAUCUUCAUUACCCCAUUUUCGAACUUAAUAUCGAACAAGGAAUCAUCUUUAAGGACCCCAACCUUCCGGAAGUGGAUUCCAGCCUCUUGAAUCUCUGUGGCAGAACCAAUGAAGCUCCAGUAACUAUUAUUUGUGGCGUUAUUCCUAUAUGCUUCAACUCCUGCAGGUGAAGGAAGCCAAUUUUCGUGUAUUAAAUGGACCAAAUGUUUUAUUUCAUUUAUGGGGUAAACAUCAACUUGAUAAACAAUAUCUCUUCGACAACCUUUCCCUGGUAAUAUGCCAUUGAAAAAACGCAGGAUCAUGACAAGAAAGCUUUCGUUCCUUGAAUCACUAGGCAUGUCAGUCAUGAUAAACAACUUCCAAAUAACAAAAAAUGGAAGUUGAUUCUCAAGCAAAAUCAUAUCUCGUGCUAUGGAAGGUAACAUCCAACCUAGUUUAAAAUUUGGGUCAUCAUCUCCUCUCAAAUGUUUCAACCUAAACUUGCGAAUAACCUCAACAAUAAAGCAACCAUCGAGAAGCAUCAUUUGCACAAACUCAUCUCUGUUUAAACUUGUGGACCCUCCAUAACACUUUCGAGCUCUUUCUUCCAAUGCCCUCAUGGCCAUGACAUAGUCUGACAAAGGUAUACGAGUACGCUCUAGAAGUUUUUUAAGAUAGCGAGUUUUGUGCUCUUCAAAGGCCAAUAAUUGUUCUUGGCCGUGAUGAUAAGGACCGAUUGCAAGCAUUUCUGGUUCGUAAGCCUUUUCAUUUAACUUUCGCAGUACAUCAGGCACCUUGAAAAUGUUGAACUGAUCAGAUGGCGUAGCAGUUAGACGACGAAGCUUUUCCCCAACAAGAUCAAGCACUAUGUCAGCUGGUUCACUUGCCAUGACUUGGUCUGCAUUUAAGUCACAAUAUCAAGCACUAUCAAAUUUCAAGAAUGUUGAAAUCUGCAUUUCCAUAAAUUAUCGACAUCCAUUGAAAACACAAGUACUUAAAUUUUUCAUAAAAGCUACCACGAAUAUCAAGAAUUAUGUCUGAAUUUCAAAAAUUCCGAUGUGUACUAGCUAACAACUAGUGAUUGAUAAUAGUUUCAACAUCUAAGAAGUAUAGUUACAGCACCACUUGUACAACAAGAGGGAGUAAAACAAAUUCAACAAUAAUAACCCACUAAUCGAAUGAUCAUAAACAACUCAGAAAGUUAUAUAUUUUUUCAAUUUCAAUUCUUUAUAUCCUUAGAAAUAAUUCCUACAGCAAUGAUCCAGAUCACGGAUCUCGCCUCUCACACGGCUAGAGAAACUAAGCAAAAUUCAUACAAAGUCGAUUAAUGCUUCAGAGUUAUAAGAUACAUAAUUCUAAACAAUUUUGUGAUAACUUACUUGUUUGAAGGCUAUCGUUCCUAUUGCUUGACGAGAUCGCAAUCUUACCAGUGCAACGAUUCUUGGUUGACGAGAUCCCAAUCUUACCGUUGUAAGGAACACGAUCCUUUGCUUUUUCUAGUAACACAAAGGAGACUACAUGUGGAAAAAGGCUAUGAUGAAUGACGACCCACCAAAGAAAAUAAAUUAAAUUGUACGGCAAGUUUUUCUUUCUUUUAUAUUUUCAAUUUCUUAUCAUUAGGCAAAUAAUAAUAAUAAUAAUAAUAAUAAUAAUAAUAAUAAUAAUAAUAAUAAUAAUAAUAAUAAUAAUAAAAGAAGGAAAAAGGCUUUAUAACCCACGGGCAAAUUUAUGGAAAUACUUUGCGCUUUUCAAUUUCACCAAGCCAUACAGCCAUACUCUCACCAAAAGUCAUACUCUCAACUUUCUUGUAAAGUUAACCAAUUACGAAGUUUUAGUCCCACCCGCUGUCUGGAUGCUCUGCUCACCGUCGCCCAUUUUCCUGGCCACAUCUCCCGCCCAUUUUCCUGGCCAUCUCUCACCCAUAUCUUGUAAUCCAACCACAAAGUCAACAAUUUGCAGCCCACAACACACCAAGUACAACUUGCCUUUCAAAUUUUCAUUUUUUUUUUUCCAAAUUGAGAUUGAGUAAGGAAAACACUUUCAAAGACAUUUAAGUCGCUUCGUGUGCCAUGAACUUUAAACCUCUAUUUCUUCCAAAAUUAUCAAUUUCGUUGAGGCCCAAUUCAAACUCUAACACUCUUCAAUCGACAAUAAAUCCUCAACAAUCAAGUCAAAUGAAUAAUGUUAAAGUCGUGGGCAGUGGUGAGAGAUGGGAGAAAUGGGUGUUUUAUUUUGCUUUUGUAUUUUGGUUGAUUAAGGGUAAAUGUGUCAAAAUGGCAUGAAGUUGGUUAUAUUUAUAAGAAAUAAGGGAGAGACUUCUUUGAUAAAUUAAAAAGUGCAAAGUGGCCAUGUCUAUAAAUUUCCCAAAUUUCUUUAAUUUUUUCUAAUUAGGAAGUAGAACAAGACUGCCAUUUUUUUCGUCAACGAGACUACCACUUUGAAAAUUCUUUCAUAUGUUUACAAAGUUGGAUAAUCUCUAACAACUCUAACCACAACCCUUGGAUCUUUACUUUAUUACCAACCUUGAAAAGUGUGCAAAUAAUUAAUAGGUGACAGGGUAAAUAGGUUACAAAUUUAUCAAAUAAAAAAUAAAUUUCCUUUCUUUUCAAAUGAAUAUAUAACAAUACACUUAUCUUUUAUUAUUGAAAAAGUAAUAACCUUUCAAUAUCACAAUAAUUUUUCAAUAUUACAUUUACGAAAAAUAAUACCCACACUUUUAAGAUUUGAGAAAAUAAUCAUGUAUAGUGGUAAAGUUAGCUGCUUUCUAAAUUUUUGAGAAACUUACAAAAAUGUCAUUAUGCAAAAUUUAAAAAAUUGCCAUUAUUUUAUUUACAAUUGUACCACUCUUUUAAUUUACAACUCUGUCAUUUACAUAAAUAAAUAAAUAAAAAUGAGCAUUUAUUUCAUUCGGGAUUCCCAUAUCGUGCUCUCUUUCGUGGCUUGUUCAGUUCUUCGUCUUCUUCUUGGUAAGAAUAGAUAGUAAAUUUAUUUUUAAAUUCAAUCAUUUAUGAUAUAUUUAUUAAUUAUAAGGUAGUAAAUAAUUUCAUAAAUAACUAUUAUAUCUUUUGAUUCUAACAACCUAAAUAAAUACAAAUAUGGUAACACAAUAAAACUAAUAAAUAAUUAUCAUAUGAUACAAAUAAAAUAUUAUAAUAAAUAUAAUUAAUAAAAUAACAUGUAUAAUGAAUAUUAUUUUAAUAUUAAGUUAUUAUUAAUCUAUCUCGAUGGGUUUUAUUAAUACUAAAAUUUGUUAAUCCAAAAAUUGACUUUAAAAUUUAUACUAAUAUGGACAUAAUAAAAAAGAUAUUGUAAAUAAAAUAAUAUAAACUUUAUAAAUUACUGUGAAUGUUAGGUAUAAUUAUUUUAAUAUUAUUAAUAUGCCAAAUAGAUUUUAUUAUUAAUAAACGAAUGUGACAGAUUAAUAAUGUUAAAAUAACUUUUCUAAUAUUCCAAACAACCUAUAAAAUUUAUCUUAUUGUAUUUAUUAUAUUAUUUUUAUUUUAAUUAUAUUUAUUAUAGAAGUUUAUUUAAAGUCAAUUAUUGGGUUGUUGUGAUCAAGGAUAUAAUAGUAAAAAAGGGAUUUACGUGACCAUUUAUGAAAUCAAGGGGGUUUGUAUGACCAUUUAAGCAAAUCUUGAGGGUAUGAGUGGCCUUUCCCCUUUAAAAUAAGGAAUCCACUAUUAAAUGAACAAUAAACAACUAGACUAUUACAUUUUCAUUUUUAUUUCAUUUCUUAUUCUUUGAUAAUAAUUCAUAUAACAUUGAGCUUGAUCGUGGAUCUUGACUGUCGCAUGAUUAAGUAAAUAAGCAAAAUUCAUUGGGUACAAAUACAGUGCAAGAGACAUCAAUUUAUUUGAUUAAUGCAAUGAAUUUUGAAAAAACAAUCCUAUUUUUUUAUAGGAUCAACUUACUAUAUAAAUUAAUUAUUACCUAAUUUGAAAUUAAAUAUAUAUGACAUAUUUAUGUGAUUUUGUUUAUAAAAAAAAAUGUGCUUAGUUCACUUGCUUCUUUUCGAAAUUGGAUAUGACUUGAAUUUUAUCUCUAACUUUUGACAAUGCGAAAUUCUAAUUGUUAUUAUCAUUCUACAUCAAUAAAUUAUUCAAUGUUAGUAUUGCUUUGAGUGCUUCUUUAUGCAAAGAUGAGACUCUUUGUAAAUGUCAUUUUUAACAUAGAAAAAUAAAAUAUCUAUAAUAGUCUUAUUACUACUAAUGUAAUGCAAUUAACUACUAAAGAAUAUCUUCAUAAAUUAAAAAUAUUUUAAUAUAUCGAUUAAUUAAUAUUCACUAAAUUAUUGGAUUUUCUAUGUUCCCAUGGCUCUUAAAUUAUUGAAGUUCUAAUAUAUUACCUAAGCUUGGUCUAACUUUAUUUUGUUGAUCAUCCGAAUUCAAAUAAAAAAGAGAAAGCUUAAUUUCAUGAUUGUAAUAAAUUAAGAUCAAAAUAAAGGAAAUAUUAUUGUAAAUAAUUUAAAAAAUAAUUGUACCCAAGGUUUUUGUUGGAUCAAGGGAUUUGUUGCAACUUCCUAGCUAGCAUGUCACUCUUCUCCACUUCUACAUACUUAGCUACAAAAGUAAAGGCCGCUAUAUUGGUGCUCGUAGAAUGAAUAUUAAACCAUUUAACUUCAUCUUCUAUUGUCCUAAGGGUGUUUACUGGCCCCACGAAUCCAACAAUUCUUAAGAUGACUUUUAAUGUUAAUAAAAUAGGAUUUUAAAAACAUUGUAAAUCUUUUGACGGAACUGUUUAAUUUAGUCUACACCUCAAAUAAAUUCAAAAUAAAUUCAACCAUUUAACAAUUUUUAACCUUCAAAUUACAUGCACCAUUUUCAUUAAUGGUUGGUUCUUUUCUCUUCAAUUUCCAAAGCUCUCCAUUCUUAUUUAUAACAAGUUUGUAAUAUCACAAUCUUUAUAACAGUGGAAUAGUAGAUUGGAGCAGAAGAAAAAACACCUUAUUAAAUGAAAAUCGAAUAAAUUGAGCGCAUAUUUGUCAGACGAGGUUGUAGCUUGUAACAAAUAUUUUCAUCCAAAAAUAAACCAUUCUUAUUUAUUACAAAGUUGUAAUAAAUAUUUUCAUUGAAAAAUAAAGAUUUUAAAGAGGCAUCAUUCAAGGAUCCAUAAAAUUAAAAAGUGAAAAUACAAAUCUAUUUACUUACUAAACUAAUUUCAAGCUUUUUAAAUAACACAUUUCUGGUAAAACAAGAAUAACAGGUACAACUCAAACUUUAUGAAUAAAAAGUACUUACAAUUAUAUUGAAAAAGCAUAAUUUUUUUUAAAAAAAUUUUGAAGUUCGAAUUCAAAACCCGUGCCCUAAACAGGUUACUCCUUUGUGAAUAUAAUAAAGCGGCUUUGUGAGAAGUUUUAAGGGGUGCUAAAAGCUGAACUCCUAAUUCAUAACAUUGUACAGGCCCUCUAAAGCUUAGAACCGAAAACAUUCUUUGCCGGAUUUGCAAACAAGCCCAAAACAUUAGGCAAAAGUAGCAAACGAAGCCCACAACAGAGGUCACAAUCAUGGGUCAGUGGAGUCGGUGUCGGUGAAUACAACACACAAGAACAGGACCAGGGUGGAGUGGACUGGUGGUCCACGAAAGCAACAAAAUUGAAAAAGAAAAAGUCAGCAACAGCGGCUAAGGAGUACGACAUAUAAUUAUUAAUUAUUUAAUUCUUUUCUUUUGGCUAUAAACACCCAAAAGAAUCAUUAGUUUCGGGAGAAUAUUGUACAAAAAGUUAAAAGCAUAUAAACCAAAAGCAAAAAACUCUCUUGCCUAAUUGCCAAUAAAAAGCUUAAUUACAUUUUUUGCUUCUAAAAAGCUUAAUUACCAAAGCAAAAAACACUCUUGCCCCGGCGCCCCUCGGAGACGGAAUUAGGUUUGGCCCAUUAUCCAUGUGAUUGGUUGUAAUUGUAAUUGACAUUUGCUAUAUAUGCUACAGAAACCCUCAAAGACCUGGCAAAGAAGCAAACGUCCUCACGAUGAAACCUCUCAGGAAUCACAAUGAAUGUGGUGGUGGAACUUCUUCUCCAUUUCCGUGGGACUUCGUUUCCAUCGAAAUUGAAAGAAUUCUGAUUUGUAAUAAUGAAUUAUCAGAAUUUAAAAAAUUCUUUUUGUAGAAGAGGAAUGACAGAUUUGACAAAAAACAAAAAAAUUCCGUUCAUAGUUUUGUAAAACUCCAAUGACUAGGGCCAAUUUAUGCAGAUUGAUUCUACCUCAUUUUUUCUUUUUCGAUGAAAUUGAUUGUUGACCAAUGAUCCAAGAAGUAAAGGUUGUUGGCUCUGCUUAAUUUAUAGAAUAAUAUAUCUUUUUGUGCUGAUAAACACAAUUCAAAUCACCUCUCCCUCUUGCCAUUGCCAUUCGCAUCCCAUUCCUCCCACACUCUUUUUGCAUUCAUUCGCUUAUUUCUACUGUUUCUUCAGGAAACAGUUGUUGUUCAUGAUCAUGUAAAUGUACUAUUUUAAUAAAGGAAAAAUUGCAUCUAUAUUCCCUUGAUUUAAUGAAAUGUAUACCUAGAACUUAAGUUUUAAAAAUGGUCAUAUAGACAUCCUUUUACCUUAUUACUCUAUUAACUUAAAAAAAUUUGACUCUAAAUUUUAUAAUAAAUAAAAACAUAAUAUUAAAAUACCUAUGGUAGAUAUGUGCAUUUUAAAUUAAUUUCAUAUUAAUAAUUUGGGAUAAAUUUUAUUAUUAAUAUGUGUAAAAGCAAGAUUUAUUUUAAAUUUUAUAAUUAAAAUGUAAAAGCAAGAUUUAUUUUAAAUUUUAUAAUUAAAAAUAUAAUAUUCAAAUAAACAUAAAUUUAUUUUUUAUUUUUUAUUAUUUUGAAUAUUUUAAAGAAUAUCUAAAUGUUAUUAAUAUGCCAAUCAAUUUUUGUUAAUAGUAAAAUUUAUUUAACCCAAGAUUUUUUAUAAAUAUAUUUAUAAUAAUAGAUACAAUUGUAAUACUAAAAGUAAAUAUAAUAAUUUUCAUUUAAAAAAUUUGAAAUAUUAAAACACUUAUUUUAAUAUUAUAGGUAUAUUAGAUGGCAUAUUUCUAUUUAUUAAAAGACUUUAAAGUCAAUUUUCUUAAUUACUAUAUUGAAAGAGCAUAAUGAUCAAAAAAGGGUAUGAAACCUUAUAGAUUUAUGUGUACAUUUAAACAAACUAUGCACUAUUAGAAAAAUGGUCUUGAAUAAUAUUAGAAUAGUGCCCAUAAUUAUUUUUAAUGUCACUUGUUAAUUGUGUCAACAACCUAGCAGUCAGAACAUGGUGAUACUUAUUUGUAGUGUCACCAGAAUAGUGUCAAUGGUUAUUAUUAGUGUCACUAUAAUGGUGUCAAUGGUUAUUAUUACUAUAAUAUCACCAAUUUAUGACACUAAAGCAUCAAAUUAUAUCAAUACUAUAUUAGUGUCAUUGAUUGCUAUUACUAUAGUGUCAAUUUUUCAUUUAUUAUUUGUUAAAAAUUAUAAGAUGGCGUAUUGGCUAUUGAUUUGUUGAUUAAAUUAAAAUGUACCACCAAAUAACAACAAAAAUCAAUUUAUAUUGCAAAACCUUUCAUAACAUGUAAUUAUUAUUAGUUCAUAUUACACAAUCCAAAUACUUCAAUACACAAGACAUCUUAUUCUUAUAAUUGAAUAAUCUCAAAUACAUAAAAAUUGCUAUUAUACAAUCAAAUUUCUUUUACUUGUAGCUGAAUUUAGGGCUAAAUUUAACAAAUCUAAAAACUAAAUUUAAAGGGAUUAUUAUUUUUCACUCAUUAUCUAAUUGUUGACAUGACACAUCUCUCAUGACUAAAAUUUUUUACCUUUAAUGAAAUUGAUUGUUGACCAUGCACUGAAAACAGGGCUUGCACAAAGGUUAGUAGAAGCAGGAAUACAGCAGCGAGAAAGGAGAUGAUUGCCCACGGAUUGUUGAAAUAAUUGUGCCUCAACUUGGCCAUCCACUUAUUACAACGCCUUCUGCAAUGGAAAAUCACUUUGUUGGAAACCUCACUAUAAUAAAACCGCUCACCGAGUACAACACCCUCACAAAGCUUGUUCAAUAAGGUUGCAAUCACUUCAUCAUCUCCUAACAAAUUAUCAAUUAUUCCACGACGGCAGAGUAAUUCAGCAUCCUUAGAAGAAUUGAUGAGGCAGUUCAGGAAUUUGACAUAAUCUAUUACAUGCUUCAGAUUUAUGCCUUGGGAACACUGCUCAUACGCAAUGAGAUUCUGAAAAAUAGUUUCUGUAUCAUCACUAAUUUCCAAGGAUGGCAUCUUCAUUACCCCAUUUUCGAACUUAAUAUCGAACAAGGAAUCAUCAUCCUUAUCGACCUCAACCUUCCGGAAUUCGAUUCCAGCCUCUUGAAUCUCUGUGGCAGAACAAAUGAAGUUGCAGUGACUAUUAU